rnacentral:rRNA from 1 species
CCUACGGGACGCAGCAGUGAGGAAUAUUGGUCAAUGGGCGGGAGCCUGAACCAGCCAUGCCGCGUGAAGGCGAGUGCCCUACGGGCGUUAAACUUCUUUUGUGCGGGAGCAAUAAGGGCCACGUGUGGCCCGAUGAGAGUACCGCACGAAUAAGCAUCGGCUAACUCCGUGCCAGCAGCCGCGGUAAUACGGGGGAUGCGAGCGUUAUCCGGAUUUACUGGGCGUAAAGGGAGCGCAGGCGGCGCGCCAAGUCUGAUGUGAAACCCCGGGGCUCAACCCCGGGCAUGCAUUGGAAACUGGCGGGG